rnacentral:rRNA from 1 species
GACGAACGCUGGCGGCGUGCUUAACACAUGCAAGUCGAACGGUAAGGCCCUUCGGGGUACACGAGUGGCGAACGGGUGAGUAACACGUGGGUGAUCUGCCCUGCACUUCGGGAUAAGCCUGGGAAACUGGGUCUAAUACCGGAUAGGACCCUGGGAUGCAUGUCCUGGGGUGGAAAGCUUUUGCGGUGUGGGAUGGGCCCGCGGCCUAUCAGCUUGUUGGUGGGGUGAUGGCCUACCAAGGCGACGACGGGUAGCCGGCCUGAGAGGGUGACCGGCCACACUGGGACUGAGAUACGGCCCAGACGCCGACGGGGGGCAGCAGUGGGGAAUAUUGCACAAUGGGCGCAAGCCUGAGGCAGCGACGCCGCGUGAGGGAUGACGGCCUUCGGGUUGUAAACCUCUUUCAGCACCGACGAAGCGCAAGUGACGGUAGGUGCAGAAGAAGGACCGGCCAACUACGUGCCAGCAGCCGCCGUAA